UGGUAAACUGGAGAGCAUCCCAGGAACCUCUGAUUGAACGAGAAGUUCUGGCGAGCUUUCCACGGCGGCUAGAAACCAUAGCGGUCACCGAGGCUCUACCCGGAUGAGAGGGAUCUAAGAUUAGUGAAGACGAACCAGAAAUAUACGAAAGAGAAAGAGGGAGCAUGAGAGGAGGGAGGAGAUGUCGAUGCCGGCGAGCACGAGCUCCACCGGCGUCGGAGGAUGAUGACAAAACGGGGGUCUCGAUAUUUGGGUUUGAGAGCGUUUUCAAAUUUCAAAAUCCUCUGGGUGGUAUUGGUUACUAGAAUUGUGUCACUUUCCUUUUUUCUCACC
rnacentral:lncRNA from 1 species